GGUUGGUCCGAAGGUAGUGCGUUAUUUCGAUUGAUUGCUCACAGUCAGUUACAGAUUGAAUUCCUUGUUCUACACUUUCCCCCCUUCUCAUUACUGCACUUGACUAGUCUUAA
ensembl:misc_RNA Y_RNA Y RNA